GCUGUUUCACGGGUUUUAAAUAAACACUUUUUUUCGUGUCAGGAGCAACCGGAGUUGCUUCUGGAGUAAUAAACACUAAAGUAAUAUUAUAAAUUAUAACAAAUUAUGAUUUACGGUGGCGGUGGUCUCAGUCGGGUUCGGUCGGCAGAGUGGAGAAGGAGCCCAAACGGUAGCGGGAGGAGUUAGGGCGGUGCCAUGUUCCCCUGCCUCUUCCCUCCCUCCCUCCCUCCCUCCCUCUCUCUUUCUACUUCCU